rnacentral:rRNA from 1 species
UGAACGCUGGCGGCGUGCUUAACACAUGCAAGUCGAACGAGAACGGGAUUGCUUGCAAUCCUUAUUAAAGUGGCGCACGGGUGAGUAACACGUGGAUAACCUACCUUAUGUUCCGGAACAACAUUGCGAAAGCGAUGCUAAUACCGGAUGAUGUUUAGAUUUCUUCGGAAUUUUAAAUGAAAGAUUGCCUCUGCUUGCAUGCAAUUGACAUGGGAUGGGUCCGCGUACCAUUAGCUAGCUGGUGGGGUAAUGGCCUACCAGGGCGACGAUGGUUAGCUGGUCUGAGAGGAUGAUCAGCCACACUGGAACUGACACACGGUCCAGACUCCUACGGGAGGCAGCAGUGAGGAAUUUUGCGCAAUGGGGGCAACCCUGACGCAGCAACGCCGCGUGAGUGAUGAAGGCUUUUGGGUCGUAAAGCUCUGUCAGCAGGGAAGAACGGGUUUUGUAUUAAUAGUAUAAGACUUUGACGGUACCUGCAAAGGAAGCACCGGCUAACUCC